rnacentral:rRNA from 1 species
CCUACGGGGGGCAGCAGUGAGGAAUAUUGGUCAAUGGUCGUAAGCCUGAACCAGCCAAGUCGCGUGAGGGAUGAAGGUUCUAUGGAUCAUAAACCUCUUUUAUAAGGGAAUAAAGUGUGGGACGUGUCCUGUUUUGUAUGUACCUUAUGAAUAAGGAUCGGCUAACUCCGUGCCAGCAGCCGCGGUAAUACGGAGGAUCCGAGCGUUAUCCGGAUUUAUUGGGUUUAAAGGGUGCGUAGGCGGCCUUUUAAGUCAGCGGUGAAAGUCUGUGGCUCAACCCUAGAAUUGCCGUUGAAACUGGGAGGCUUGAGUAUGUGUGAGGCAGGCGGAAUGCGUGGGGUAGCGGUGAAAUGCUUAGAUAUCACGCAGAACCCCGAUUGCGAAGGCAGCAUGCCAAGCCAUGACUGACGCUGAGGCACGAAAGCGUGGGGAUCAAACAGGAUUAGAUACCCUUGUAGUC